GGCGACGGUGGUUGUGGUUGUCCG
rnacentral:siRNA from 1 species